GUAGGAGUGAGCCUGCUCGCGAUGACGGAAUGUCAGCCAACAUCAAUGUUGACUGGUUAACCGCAAUCGCGAGCAGGCUCACUCCUAC
rnacentral:antisense_RNA from 1 species